rnacentral:misc_RNA from 1 species
CAAAAUGGUACCCUAAGCUUUAAUCUGUUAGCAAAUGCUUUAAUGCCUUUAAUUUUGCUGGUGUAGCAGUGUGAGUCUAGUAAAAUAAUAUUUUUUAAAAAAAUUAUUGCGAAAUGGGGUAACAUAAAAUUAGGAGAAGAUUUCAGGAAAAGCAAAUGAAAUGAUUUAUCUAAGAAAAAUAGGGAAAUUUCUAGUCAUUUUCCAUUAAUUCCGAAGUGCAAGCUACGCCAACAUCUCGUUAUUUUAAGAUUGUUUUCCAAGCUAGUCCAGACUUUUGGAACCAAUAAAAUCAAAACAAUGUGAUGUUCGUCCAAUUCCAUAUCAGUAGGUGAAAGCUCAGCAACUCUGAACUCUUCAUACUUUUCUUCAUUUCCCAUCUUCUCAUUUUGUCCAAUUUCAAGAUUGUUGAGUUGGGUUGCUGCUGCUCUGUGAAGUUUUUCAAAGCAAGGAGAAAAACAUUGUUGCAUUGGAGAUUGAUUGAAGUUGUCUCAUGAAAUUUUCUUUCAUGAAUCUUGGUGGUGUAAAAGAAAGAAAGAAAUAAAGACUUCAAGAAUAAGAAUUUAUGUUCUUGCAUCUCCCAGGCACAGCACAACACCUUCUUUCGUCUUCAUCGGCUUCCAUUGUUGAGUUGUUCUACUUGGCAGUUACUUAUUUGCUCCUAAGAAAACGGUCAACUCAAGUGUGAAACUCUUGCGUUUUAUAGUGAGUUUUUUGUCGUUUUACUGUUUUCCAAAAUUCGUAGUGCCCACGAUAAUUGCUACUUUUGUUGAUAAGUUGAAAAAAACGCGUUUUGCGUUGGGAUGCGACUCAACUGAGAGUGUGAACUUUGGGUUCUCAAGCCUUCUGUUUCGAUGGAGAAAUUUGAGAAAAUCAGUUGAAAAUCUGAGUUUGCAAUUUUUAAUUUUAUUUUUUUUUCUAAAAAUUUUAUGGUGAAAAAAUUGGUGGAAAGAUUGUGAAAUCUAGAGGCUAAAGGUGCCAUCUCUCCUGCGACAGUAAACAAAUGACGAGUCCGUUCAAGUCUUCGCCGUACCGCCGGCGACAUGAUCUAGAGGCCGGAGGCCGCUCCACUGACGAUGAGUCAUCCGGUCCUUUUGAUAUUCUCAGCACUAAAAACGCCUCUAUUGAACGUCUUCGCCGUUGGAGGCAAGCUGCACUUGUGCUUAAUGCUUCUCGUCGAUUCCGAUAUACCCUGGACUUGCAAAAGGAAGAAGAGAAGCAGCAAAUAUUGAGAAAGAUAAGAGCACAUGCACAAGUCAUACGAGCUGCAUAUCGUUUUAAAGCAGCUGGGGAACAAGCAAAUGGAAACACAGAAUUACAUGCAACACCUACAGGUGAUUUUGGAAUUGAUCAAGACCAACUUUCUACAAUGACAAGGGAUCAUAAGUUUGAUUUUCUAGAGCAACUUGGGGGGGUAAAAGGGCUUUCUGAUCUUUUAAAAACAAAUAACGAGAAGGGGAUCUAUGGAGAUGAUGCUGAUUUACUGAAGCGCAAGAAUGCAUUUGGAUCAAACACUUAUCCGCAGAAAAAAGGAAGGACUUUCUGGAUGUUCCUUUGGGAAGCUUGGCAAGA